UACGAAGGGGACUAGCGUUGUUCGGAAUUACUGGGCGUAAAGCGCACGUAGGCGGAUUUGUUAGUCAGGGGUGAAAUCCCGGGGCUCAACCCCGGAACUGCCUCUGAUACUGGUAGUCUAGAGUCCGGAAGAGGUGAGUGGAAUUCCGAGUGUAGAGGUGAAAUUCGUAGAUAUUCGGAGGAACACCAGUGGCGAAGGCGGCUCACUGGUCCGACAUUGACGCUGAGGAGCGAAAGCUAGGGGAGCAAACGGG
rnacentral:rRNA from 1 species